UACAGAGGUCUCAAGCGUUGUUCGGAUUCAUUGGGCGUAAAGGGUGCGUAGGCGGCGCGGUAAGUCGGGUGUGAAAUCUCGGAGCUUAACUUAGAACGGUCAAGUGAUACUGAUGUGCUAGAGUGCAGAAGGGGCAACCGGAAUUCUUGGUGUAGCGGUGAAAUGCGUAGAUAUCAAGAGGAACACCUGAGGUGAAGACGGGUUGCUGGGCUGACACUGACGCUGAGGCGCGAAAGCUAGGGUAGCAAACGGG
rnacentral:rRNA from 1 species